rnacentral:rRNA from 1 species
GGCGACCCCAGGUCAGGCGGGAUUACCCGCUGAG